GCCUGCCCAGUGACCACAAAUUCAACGGCCGCAGUAUUUUAACCGCGCGAAGGUAGCGUAAUCACUUGUUUUUUAAAUAAAGACUAGUAUGAACGGCCACACGAGGACUUAACUGUCUCCUUUAUCCAAUCAGUGAAACUGAUCCCCCCGUGAAGAAGCGGGGAUAACAUCAUAAGACGAGAAGACCCUAUGGAGCUUUAAACCUAAUCAACUAUCUCUUUUAUUUCCAAGGAACUAAUUAUUAUUAAGAUAUUAUUGAUAUUGGUUUUUGGUUGGGGCGACCAUGAAGAAAAAAUAAACCUUCCUGACGACUCAUAAACCAAGAGCAACAGCUCUAAAUAUUAAGACACUUAACCAUCAUUGACCCAUUUUAUGAUCAACGAACCAAGUUACCCUAGGGAUAACAGCGCAAUCCAUUUUAAGAGUCCCUAUCGACAAAUGGGUUUACGACCUCGAUGUUGGAUCAGGGCACCCAAGUGGCGCAACCGCUACUAAAGGUUCGUUUGUUCAACGAUUAAAGCCCU
rnacentral:rRNA from 1 species